rnacentral:rRNA from 1 species
GGUUAAGCGACUAAGCGUACACGGUGGAUGCCCUGGCAGUCAGAGGCGAUGAAGGACGUGCUAAUCUGCGAAAAGCGUCGGUAAGGUGAUAUGAACCGUUACAGCCGGCGAUGUCCGAAUGGGGAAACCCAGUGCAAUUCGUUGCACUAUCGUUAACUGAAUACAUAGGUUAACGAGGCGAACCGGGGGAACUGAAACAUCUAAGUACCCCGAGGAAAAGAAAUCAACCGAGAUUCCCCCAGUAGCGGCGAGCGAACGGGGAGCAGCCCAGAGUCUGAAUCAGCUUGUGUGUUAGUGGAACGGUCUGGAAAGUCCGACGGUACAGGGUGAUAGUCCCGUACACCAAAAUGCACAGGUUGUGAACUCGAAGAGUAGGGCGGGACACGUGGUAUCCUGUCUGAAUAUGGGGGGACCAUCCUCCAAGGCUAAAUACUCCUGACUGACCGAUAGUGAACCAGUACCGUGAGGGAAAGGCGAAAAGAACCCCGGCGAGGGGAGUGAAAAAGAACCUGAAACCGUGUACGUACAAGCAGUGGGAGCACCUUCGGGUGUGACUGCGUACCUUUUGUAUAAUGGGUCAGCGACUUAUAUUCUGUAGCAAGGUUAACCGUAUAGGGGAGCCGCAGGGAAACCGAGUCUUAACUGGGCGUUAAGUUGCAGGGUAUAGACCCGAAACCCGGUGAUCUAGCCAUGGGCAGGUUGAAGGUUGGGUAACACUAACUGGAGGACCGAACCGACUAAUGUUGAAAAAUUAGCGGAUGACUUGUGGCUGGGGGUGAAAGGCCAAUCAAACCGGGAGAUAGCUGGUUCUCCCCGAAAGCUAUUUAGGUAGCGCCUCGUGAAUUCAUCUUCGGGGGUAGAGCACUGUUUCGGCUAGGGGGUCAUCCCGACUUACCAACCCGAUGCAAACUACGAAUACCGAAGAAUGUUAUCACGGGAGACACACGGCGGGUGCUAACGUCCGUCGUGAAGAGGGAAACAACCCAGACCGCCAGCUAAGGUCCCAAAGUCAUGGUUAAGUGGGAAACGAUGUGGGAAGGCACAGACAGCCAGGAUGUUGGCUUAGAAGCAGCCAUCAUUUAAAGAAAGCGUAAUAGCUCACUGGUCGAGUCGGCCUGCGCGGAAGAUGUAACGGGGCUAAACCAUGCACCGAAGCUGCGGCAGCGACACUAUGUGUUGUUGGGUAGGGGAGCGUUCUGUAAGCCUGCGAAGGUGACCUGUGAGGGUUGCUGGAGGUAUCAGAAGUGCGAAUGCUGACAUAAGUAACGAUAAAGCGGGUGAAAAGCCCGCUCGCCGGAAGACCAAGGGUUCCUGUCCAACGUUAAUCGGGGCAGGGUGAGUCGACCCCUAAGGCGAGGCCGAAAGGCGUAGUCGAUGGGAAACAGGUUAAUAUUCCUGUACUUGGUGUUACUGCGAAGGGGGGACGGAGAAGGCUAUGUUAGCCGGGCGACGGUUGUCCCGGUUUAAGCAUGUAGGCUGGUU